rnacentral:rRNA from 1 species
GACGAACGCUGGCGGCGUGCUUAACACAUGCAAGUCGAACGGAAAGGCCCUUCGGGUGCUCGCGUGGCGAACGGGUGAGAAACACGUGGGUGAUCUGCCCUGCACUUUGGGAUAAGCCGGGGAAACUGGGCCUACUACCGAAUAUGAUCAUCGGCUUCAUGGUCGGCGGUGGAAAGCUUUUGCGGUGUGGGAUGGGCCCGCGGCCUAUCAGCGUGUUGGGGGGGUAAGGGCCUACCACGGCGACGACGGGUAACCGGCCUGAGAGGGUGACCGGCCACACUGGGACUGAGAUACGGCCCAGACUCCUACGGGAGGCAGCAGUGGGCAAUAUUGCACAAUGGGCGCAAGCCUGAUGCAGCUACGCCGCGUGAGGGAUGACGGCCUUCGGGUUGUAAACCUCUUUCAGCACAGACGAAGCGCAAGUGACGGUAUGUGCAGAAGAAGGACCGGCCAACUACGUGCCAGCAGCCGCAGUAA